UACCGCGUGGCCUAGUGGUUAGUGCUGCCCGACUUCGAUUUGCAUACCCGGGUUCGAUUCCAAGUGUGGUGG